rnacentral:tRNA from 1 species
GGGUCAGUAGUUCGACGGUAGAGCUUUCGCAUCAUAUGCGAAAAGACACGGGUUCGAUCCGUGACUGGUUCG